rnacentral:rRNA from 1 species
AGAGUUUGAUCCUGGCUCAGAUUGAACGCUGGCGGCAUGCCUUACACAUGCAAGUCGAACGGCAGCACGGGAGCUUGCUCCUGGUGGCGAGUGGCGAACGGGUGAGUAAUGCAUCGGAACGUGCCCUGAAGUGGGGGAUAACGUAGCGAAAGUUACGCUAAUACCGCAUAUUCUGUGAGCAGGAAAGCAGGGGAUCUUCGGACCUUGCGCUUUUGGAGCGGCCGAUGUCGGAUUAGCUAGUUGGUGGGGUAAAGGCCCACCAAGGCGACGAUCCGUAGCGGGUCUGAGGGGAUGAUCCGCCACACUGGAACUGAGACACGGUCCAGACUCCUACGGGAGGCAGCAGUGGGGAAUUUUGGACAAUGGGCGCAAGCCUGAUCCAGCCAUGCCGCGUGAGUGAAGAAGGCCUUCGGGUUGUAAAGCUCUUUCGGUUGGGAAGAAAUUGCUUGGGUUAAUACCCUGAGUAGAUGACGGUACCAGCAUAAGAAGCACCGGCUAACUACGUGCCAGCAGCCGCGGUAAUAC